rnacentral:rRNA from 1 species
GACGAACGCUGGCGGCGUGCUUAAUACAUGCAAGUCGAACGACGUGCCGAACGGGUGAGUAAUACGUAGGUAACCUGCCCUCCUUUUUGGGAUAAGCCUUGGACACGGGGUCUAAUACCGAAUUAAGGGGGAUAGGCUCGCGGCUUAUCAGCUUGUUGGUGGGGUGAUGACCUACCAAGGCGGUGAGGGGUAGCCCGCCUGAGAGGUAGACCGGCCACAUUGGGUCGGAGAUACGGCCCAGACUCCGACGCGAGGAAGCAGUGGGAGAUAUUGCACGAUGGGGGAGAGCCGUAUGCAGCGACGCCGCGUGGGGGAUGAAGGCUUUCGGGUUGUAGAGCUCUGUUAAUUGGCUGCCAGUACCUGACUAGAAAGCCACGGCUAACUACGUGCCAGCAGCCGCGGUAAUAC